UACAGAGGGGGCAAGCGUUGUUCGGAAUUACUGGGCGUAAAGGGUGCGUAGGCGGCGCGGUAAGUCGGGUGUGAAAUCUCGGAGCUUAACUCCGAAACUGCAUUCGAUACUGCCGUGCUUGAGGACUGGAGAGGAGACUGGAAUUUACGGUGUAGCGGUGAAAUGCGUAGAUAUCGUAAGGAAGACCAGUGGCGAAGGCGGGUCUCUGGACAGUUCCUGACGCUGAGGCACGAAGGCCAGGGGAGCAAACAGG
rnacentral:rRNA from 1 species